rnacentral:lncRNA from 1 species
AAACAAUAACAAUUUUUAUUUCUCAAAUUUUUGUGAAAUGUCCGAUUUUGUCCAGGUUCACUCGCAGAGUUGAGCUAGGAGUCCCACGCUGGCUUCACUCUCAAGUGUGUCAGUUGGUUCUGGCUGAUGGUUCAGCCUUUUCCUUCACAUUUUCUUUCAUCCUAGGAAGUCUCAGAAGACUGUUCCAAAAGAUUAAAUAUGGAAGCCACAUGAUGUGAUAUUCUGUAUUCUCUGGUAUUCUCCUGGACCUCAGAAGUUACAUGCAUCACUUCUGCCACAUAUUAUUGAUCAAAGUAAGUCAUGGGGCCAUCCCAGAUUCAGGAUCUGGAGAAGAGAUUCUGCUUCUGAAUGGAAAGAACAAAAGAAAAUUCAGAAUAUAAAGAGUUAUUGCAGCUAGCUUUGCAAAUAAUCUACCACAAUCAAUUAAGUCUAGAGUAAUUAAUAUCCCUUCCACAUGCUAAGUAUACUUAACUCUUCCUUCAGACCUCCAGAUUUCAUCCAGUCAGAGUAUCAGGCUUAAAGUCCAUGACCUCAUCAUAUAAAAAAAAAUUUUUUUUUUUUUUGGCUUUUUAGGGUUGCAUCUGAGGAUAUGAAAGUUCCCAGGCUAGAGGUCGAAUCAGAGCCACAGUUACAGCUGCUGGCCUAUACCACAGCAACACAGCAUCAUACAAAUCUUGUCCAGAUAUUGAUAAAGUGCUUUGAACACAGUGUGUCAAGUGUAGCUUCUCCAGUACUACUCCUCUUCAUGAAGGGACCUGUGAGCUAAAGUGACAUUAUCUCCUUCCAUACAUACAGAUAUAAUGUUGAAAGAGGGGUAGGAUAUUGGCUAUGGAUACCCCAUUAAAAAGUCAAAGGAAAGGAAACUCAUGGAACUACUUGUGUGUAGCAAUUCUCUCCUCUAACCCUGUACAUGUUAAUUCUACCUUCUAGAGAAGUAGAGAAUGAUCCUUGAUUAGGGCUCAGUGCUAAUAGGUGAGAGGAGUUUACGAAGCCAUAGUUGUCAUCUCUUGCUCUUCCUCUCUGGGUGUUGGUACUGUACUCUUCAUAUCUUUCUUUUUUCAUAGGAAAUGGCUAUGUUUAUAGCUGAGUAACUUUUUCAGUGUACUUUCAACCUGAGGAAAGUUAGUGUCCCAGAGAUUUCUUUCAUUUUCCAUUGUCUUUGACCCUUCUUAAUACAAUUGAAUUGCCCUUCCUUAACAACUUUUUGGGUUUUCUAUGCAUCAGGUUCUAGUUCAUUCCACAAGAUAAAAUCCAUUCCCACAAUCAGUUUUCAAACAGGCUUCCUUCUGCUUGGAGCAGAUGAUUUAAAAGAUCAUUGGACAACUACAAAUGUAAUAAAUUCAUUGAGUAAUUUAAAAAGGGGGUUUUACACUCUUGCUGUUGAUUUUAUCUAUGUCCUGGGGCCAUUUCUUACUUUGAGAAACUUACACUAGUGAGAGAGACUGGAAAUGUGGAAACAUUUUAUUUUCUAACCUAAUGUAUCCUGGGUCCAUGUUUCCUCUGAAUUGUUUGGAAACUAUUACUGCUCUAGACUGUUUCUCUUUUCUCAUACCUUAUACAACUUUUUUUUUUUUUUAAUGGUACUUUCAGGAGUUCCCAUUGUGGCUCAGUGGGUAAUGAACUUGACUAGUAUCCAUGAGGAUGUAGGUUCGAUCUUUGCCUCACUCAGUGGGUUAAGGAUCCCGCAUUGACAUGGGCUGUGGUGUAGGUCACAGAUGUGGCUUGGAUCCCACAUUGUGGCUGUGGUGUAGGCUGGCAGCUGCAGCUCUGAUUGGACCCCUAGCUUGGGAAUUUCCAUAUGUCACAGGUGAAGCUGUAAAAAGCAAAAUAAAUAAAUAAAUAUAUAAAUUGUACUUUCAAACUUCUGCUUGGGAAACUUCUUAAACUUGCUUUGUUACACUCAUUUUCUUACACAAAAUAUAGAAUGAAUCUUGUCCAUGACUGUGGACCACCACUGUCUCAAAUAGUGUUUCUGAGUGAGUUUUAAAAGGCUAUCUCUUCUUGAAGACAUUUGCUGACAAAUACACAUCUCUAUGAUAUCUACAAAUGUGAAUGGCAGCCUCUGAAGUUGUACAGUGCAAAAUCUAACUACGCCAUUGGUUUUGCAUUAUUCCAUUCUUAAAACCUCUGAUGGCUUCUUCCCUUCACAGUUAGAAAGCAAUAGAAUCAAAAGUCUUUUGUAUGCAGAAUAUAUAAAUAAUUCCCACAAACUAAUAAUGUAAUGAGCAAAAACAUGGCUAGACUUUCUACAAAAAAAGUAUAUGAAAAUAGCCAAUAAGUACAUGUAUGAAAGUAUCCAACAUCAGGAGUUCCCACUGUGGUGCAGUGAGUUAGGAAUCCCACUGCAGCAGCUUGGUUCACUGUGAAGGCACAGGUUCAAUUCCUGGUCCUGCACAGUGGGUUAAAUGAUCUGGCAUUGCCACAAGAGCAGUGUAGGUCACAAAUGCAGCUCAGAUUCAAUCACUGGCUUGGAACUUCCAUAUGCUGCAGGUGUGGCCAUAAAAUAUAGGAAAAAAAGUAUUUAACAUCAUUAGAUGCUAGAGAAAUGCACAUUAAAACUCCAAUGAGAUAGUUCUAUGAACCCUCUAAAAUGGCUAAAUGAAAAAGGCUGACAAUAACAAAUGUUGGAGAGGCUAUGGAAGAUCCAGAAUUCUCAUGUUCCUGAAGGGAAUAAAGAAAAAUACAACUGUUUUAGAAAGCUGUUUAGGGGAGGGAGUGGGAGGGACUGGGCUUGGGGUAAAUAGAUGAAGAAUGUUGCCUUCGGGAUGUAUUAGCAAUGGGAUCCUGCUUUGUAGC